GACUGUGCAAAGGUAGCAUAAUCAAUUGACUUAUAAUUGAAGUCUGGAAUGAAGGAAUAUUCGGGGAAUAACUGUCUUUUAGAUAUUUUAUAAAAUUUGUUAAACAAGUGCAAAUACUUGUAUACUUAAAUUAGACGAGAAGACCCUAGAAACUUAAUUAAAUUUUGUUGGGGCGACAAAACUACAGUUAACUAGUUUUUUUGAACGUGAAGAAAAUCGGUAAGAUAAAGUUACUCUAGGGAUAACAGCAUAAUUUA
rnacentral:rRNA from 1 species